CAAACAGUCAAUGAGGGAAGAGGAGGGUGCGGUAACUAUGAACAGGAGAGGAGCUAUCAAGCAAGCCAAAAUCCACUACAUCAAAAAUCAUGAAUUUAUUGCUACCUUCUUUGGACAACCUACGUUUUGCUCUGUCUGCAAAGACUUUGUAUGGGGACUCAACAAGCAGGGAUACAAAUGUAGGCAAUGCAAUGCUGCUAUUCAUAAGAAAUGUAUUGAUAAAAUCAUUGGGAGGUGUACUGGUACUGCAGCCAACAGCAGGGACACAAUGUUUCAGAAGGAACGUUUCAACAUCGACAUGCCUCAUCGCUUCAAAGUUUACAACUACAUGAGCCCUACCUUCUGUGACCACUGCGGCAGCCUGCUCUGGGGGCUGGUCAAACAAGGACUCAAAUGUGAAGAAUGUGGGAUGAAUGUGCACCAUAAAUGCCAGAAGAAGGUGGCAAAUUUAUGUGGGAUAAACCAGAAGUUGCUAGCGGAAGCUUUAAAUCAAGUUAGCCAGAAAUCUACACGAAGGUCUGAUUCUGGAUCUGUAGAAAGUGUUGGUAUUUAUCAAGAUUUUGAUAAGAAACCUAGAGCUCCAGGAGAUACAACAGAUAGCAGCGAGUACGAUAAACUCUGGGAGGGAAGCACAGCCAAGACAUCAUCACGAAUUGCAAGCAGGAGAAAAUUCAACAUAGACAGCUUUGUCUUCCAUAAAGUACUAGGGAAAGGAAGUUUUGGAAAGGUUCUGCUAGCUGAACUGAAAGGGAAGAAUGAAUUCUUUGCUAUCAAAGCUCUGAAAAAAGAUGUGGUGCUAAUUGAUGAUGAUGUGGAAUGUACCAUGGUGGAAAAGCGGGUCCUCGCACUUGCAUGGGAAAAUCCAUUUCUCACACAUCUUUACUGCACGUUUCAGACAAAGGAUCAUCUAUUCUUCGUUAUGGAGUUCCUGAACGGGGGAGACCUGAUGUUCCACAUACAAGACAAGGGGCGUUUUGAUCUCUACAGAGCAACGUUUUAUGGAGCUGAAAUUUUAUGCGGGCUACAGUUUCUUCACGGCAAAGGCAUUAUUUAUAGGAUGUUUACCAGUAUAAUCGCAGAACCUGAAUGGAGCAGUUUAGAGACCUAAAACUGGACAACGUGAUGCUAGAUAAAGAAGGCCACAUCAAGAUAGCUGAUUUUGGAAUGUGCAAAGAAAAUGUUGUUGGUGACAACAAGGCAAGCACUUUCUGCGGGACCCCGGACUACAUUGCUCCUGAGAUCCUGCAAGGUUUGCGGUACACAUUCUCUGUGGACUGGUGGUCAUUUGGGGUCCUGCUGUAUGAGAUGCUUAUUGGACAAUCGCCUUUCCAUGGAGAUGAUGAAGAUGAAUUGUUUGAGUCAAUCCGAGUGGACACCCCUCACUACCCACGCUGGAUUACCAAGGAAUCAAAAGAUAUAUUAGAAAAGCUAUUUGAAAGGGAUCCAACAAGACGCCUUGGGGUCACUGGGAAUAUCAGAGACCACCCUUUCUUCAAAACCAUCAACUGGACGGCGCUAGAGAAGAGGGAGGUGGACCCUCCCUUCAGGCCAAAAGUGAAGUCAGCAAGUGACUACAACAACUUCGACAGAGAAUUUCUGAGCGAGAAGCCAAAAUUAUCUUACAGUGACAAAAACCUGAUUGAGUCUAUGGAUCAGUCUGCAUUUGAUGGAUUUUCUUUUAUUAACCCUAAAUUUGAACAGAUCUUAGACAAGUAAGUCUCUGAACAGUCUGACUUUAAAGCAGAGUUAAAUGUUAUAAACCGAAACCUCCCAAGUGUUACGUGUUCCAACGAUGUCAAUACUUCAGAAUAAUACACAGUAGCGUGAUUAAUUACGUCCAGCUGCUGAUUUAUUGGCAGUGUUCUUUUAUGCAUGAUUGGGUUUAAGGUCUGUGAAUCAUGUGCGUUAUUUUCUCUAUUUGGGAAACUGUAAAUUCUGUUUGGUACUUGAAUAUAGUUGUGUGUUUUAUAUAUAUAUAUGCUGUAUAUUUUGCUCGAGAGAAAACAUUGGGGAACAGAAGAUGUCUUUUUAAAAAGUGUUUGAGCCCUUGGUUCUUUUAUUUGUCUUCAGUUAAAAGAAAGUUACAUUAAACUUUCAUUCAUGGCUUU